rnacentral:rRNA from 1 species
UUAAUUGAAGAGUUUGAUCAUGGCUCAGAUUGAACGCUGGCGGCAGGCCUAACACAUGCAAGUCGGGCGGUAACAGGGAGAAGCUUGCUUCUCUGCUGACGAGCGGCGGACGGGUGAGUAAUGUAUGGGGAUCUGCCUGAUGGCGGGGGAUAACUACUGGAAACGGUAGCUAAUACCGCAUAAUGUCUACGGACCAAAGCGGGGGA